AACGCACAUUGCGCCCCCUGGUAUUCCGGGGGGCAUGCCUGUCCGAGCGUCAUUGCUGCCCUCAAGCACGGCUUGUGUGUUGGGCCCUCGUCCCCCGGGACGGGCCCGAAAGGCAGCGGCGGCGCCGCGUCCGGUCCUCGAGCGUAUGGGGCUUCGUCACCCGCUCUGUAGGCCUGGCCGGCGCCUGCCGACACCAUCAAUCUUUUUUCCAGGUUGACCUCGGAUCAGGUAGGGAUACCCGCUGAACUUAA
rnacentral:misc_RNA from 1 species